GUUCGGGUGGCAGAGAGGCGAUGCGUCCGACUGCAGAUCGGAACAGAUGAGUUCAAUUCUCAUCCCGGGCU
rnacentral:tRNA from 1 species